rnacentral:lncRNA from 1 species
UGGCAGCAGCUCUACUAGUACAUUUUUCCUUGAUAUCAACGAAGAUACAGAGCCAGCAUUUUAUGACCGAUCUGGACCCAUAAAGGAUAAAAAUUCAUUCCCUUUCUUUGCUUCUAGUAAACUUGUGAAGAAUCGUAUCUUAAAUUCGCUUACUUUGCCUAACAAAAAACAUCGUAGUAGCAGUGAUCCAAAAGGAGGGAAAUUAUCAUCUGAAAGUAAGACAAGCAACAGGCGAAUCAGAACACUUACGGAGCCCAGUGUUGAUUUUAAUCAUAGUGAUGAUUUUACACCCAUAUCCACUGUACAGAAAACAUUACAAUUAGAGACUUCAUUUAUGGGGAAUAAGCACAUUGAAGACACUGGUAGUACACCAAGCAUUGGAGAAAAUGACUUAAAAUUCACCAAGAAUUUUGGUACAGAGAAUCACAGAGAAAAUACAAGCCGAGAGAGGUUAGUAGUAGAAAGUUCAACGAGCUCACAUAUGAAGAUACGUAGCCAAAGUUUUAAUACAGACACUACAACAAGUGGCAUAAGUUCAAUGAGCUCAAGUCCUUCACGAGAGACAGUAGGUGUAGAUGCUACAACUAUGGACACAGACUGUGGAAGCAUGAGUACUGUGGUAAGUACUAAAACUAUUAAGACAAGCCACUAUUUGACGCCACAGUCUAACCAUCUGUCUCUCUCCAAAUCAAAUUCGGUGUCCCUGGUGCCUCCAGGUUCUUCUCAUACGCUUCCUAGAAGAGCACAGUCCCUUAAAGCACCCUCUAUUGCUACAAUUAAAAGUCUAGCAGAUUGUAACUUUAGUUACACAAGUUCUAGAGAUGCUUUUGGCUAUGCUACACUGAAAAGACUACAGCAACAAAGAAUGCAUCCAUCCUUAUCUCACUCUGAAGCUUUGGCAUCUCCAGCAAAAGAUGUGCUAUUUACUGAUACCAUCACCAUGAAGGCCAACAGUUUUGAGUCCAGAUUAACACCAAGCAGGAUCGAUUUUAAAAAGAAGCAUGUCGGGGGAAUCAGGAGCUUAAGACCUACAAUAACAAACAACCUUUUCAGGUUCAUGAAAGCCUUAAGUUAUGCAUCAUUAGAUAAAGAAGAUUUAUUGAGUCCUAUUAAUCAAAAUACCCUGCAACGAUCUUCCUCAGUGCGGUCCAUGGUGUCCAGUGCCACAUAUGGGGGUUCAGAUGAUUACAUUGGUCUUGCUCUCCCGGUGGAUAUAAAUGAUAUAUUCCAGGUAAAGGAUAUUCCCUAUUUUCAGACAAAAAACAUACCACCACAUGAUGAUCGAGGUGCAAGAGCAUUUGCCCAUGAUGCAGGAGGUCUUCCAUCUGGAACUGGAGGUCUUGUAAAAAAUUCUUUUCACUUGCUACGACAGCAGAUGAGUCUUACGGAAAUAAUGAAUUCAAUCCAUUCAGAUGCCUCUCUGUUUUUAGAAAGUACAGAAGACACUGGACUACAGGAACAUACAGAUGAUAACUGCCUUUAUUGUGUCUGUAUUGAAAUUCUGGGUUUCCAGCCCAGCAACCAACUGAGUGCAAUAUGUAGUCAUUCAGACUUUCAAGAUAUUCCAUAUUCUGAUUGGUGUGAGCAGACUAUCCAUAAUCCUUUAGAAGUGGUUCCCUCUAAGUUUUCGGGGAUUUCUGGAUGCAGUGAUGGGGUGUCUCAAGAAGGCUCAGCUAGCAGCACCAAAAGCACAGAAUUGUUACUAGGUGUUAAAACAAUUCCAGAUGAUACACCAAUGUGCCGUAUACUCCUUCGCAAAGAAGUUCUAAGAUUAGUCAUUAAUUUGAGUAGUUCAGUUUCAACUAAAUGUCAUGAGACUGGGCUUUUAACGUGAGUAAACUAUGUGCAUGAGUAUUAUUUGUUUAUUCUGUUUUUUAAGUCGAGAAAAGAUACUUGAAAUACUUCAAAAGUUAGGCUAGUUAACUUACAUCAGUAGUUCUAAACUGCAUUGCAUACCUGUGUGAGGCUAGAU